rnacentral:rRNA from 1 species
GGUUAACGGAGCGCAAGCGACGUUCAACCGCAAAAGAAGCAGAGGGGGCUUAGUGGUGGGGUGACUGCGUACCUUUUGUAUAAUGGGUCAGCGACUUAUAUUCUGUAGCAAGGUUAACCGAAUAGGGGAGCCGGAGGGAAACCGAGUCUUAAUUGGGCGUUAAGUUGCAGGGUAUAGACCCGAAACCCGGUGAUCUAGCCAUGGGCAGGUUGAAGGUUGGGUAACACUAACUGGAGGACCGAACCGACUAAUGUUGAAAAAUUAGCGGAUGACCUGUGGCUGGGGGUGAAAGGCCAAUCAAACCGGGAGAUAGCUGGUUCUCCCCGAAAGCUAUUUAGGUAGCGCCUCGUGAAUUCAUCUCCGGGGGUAGAGCACUGUUUCGGCUAGGGGGCCAUCCCGGCUUACCAACCCGAUGCAAACUGCGAAUACCGGAGAAUGUUAUCACGGGAGACACACGGCGGGUGCUAACGUCCGUCGUGAAGAGGGAAACAACCCAGACCGCCAGCUAAGGUCCCAAAGUCAUGGUUAAGUGGGAAACGAUGUGGGAAGGCCCAGACAGCCAGGAUGUUGGCUUAGAAGCAGCCAUCAUUUAAAGAAAGCGUAAUAGCUCACUGGUCGAGUCGGCCUGCGCGGAAGAUGUAACGGGGCUAAACCAUGCAC